rnacentral:rRNA from 1 species
CAUGCAAGUCGAACGGCAGCACGGGUGCUUGCACCUGGUGGCGAGUGGCGAACGGGUGAGUAAUAUAUCGGAACGUACCCGGAAAUGGGGGAUAGCUCGGCGAAAGCCGGAUUAAUACCGCAUAUGCCCUGAGGGGGAAAGCAGGGGACCCGCAAGGACCUUGCGUUUUCGGAGCGGCCGAUAUCAGAUUAGCUAGCUGGUGGGGUAAAGGCCUACCAAGGCGACGAUCUGUAGCUGGUCUGAGAGGACGACCAGCCACACUGGAACUGAGACACGGUCCAGACUCCUACGGGAGGCAGCAGUGGGGAAUUUUGGACAAUGGGGGAAACCCUGAUCCAGCCAUGCCGCGUGAGUGAAGAAGGCCUUCGGGUUGUAAAGCUCUUUCAGACGGAAAGAAACGAUCACGGAUAAUACCUGUGGUUAAUGACGGUACCGUCAGAAGAAGCACCGGCUAACUACGUGCCAGCAGCCGCGGUAAUACGUAGGGUGCGAGCGUUAAUCGGAAUUACUGGGCGUAAAGCGUGCGCAGGCGGUUUUUUAAGACAGGCGUGAAAUCCCCGGGCUUAACCUGGGAACUGCGUUUGUGACUGGAAGACUAGAGUGCGGCAGAGGGGGGUAGAAUUCCACGUGUAGCAGUGAAAUGCGUAGAUAUGUGGAGGAAUACCGAUGGCGAAGGCAGCCCCCUGGGUCGACACUGACGCUCAUGCACGAAAGCGUGGGGAGCAAACGGGAUUAGAUACCCUGGUAGUCCACGCCCUAAACGAUGUCAACUAGGUGUUGGGGAAGGAGACUUCUUUAGUACCGCAGCUAACGCGUGAAGUUGACCGCCUGGGGAGGACGGCCGCAAGGUUGAAACUCAGAGGAAUUGACGGGGACCCGCACAAGCGGUGGGAUUAUGUGGAUUAAUC